GACGGAGGAUGCAAGCGUUGUCCGGAAUUAUUGGGCGUAAAGAGCUCGUAGGCGGCCUGUUGCGUCCGCUGUGAAAUCCCGGGGCUUAACCCCGGGCGUGCAGUGGAUACGGGCUGGCUGGAGGCAGGCAGGGGAGAACGGAAUUCCCGGUGUAGCGGUGAAAUGCGCAGAUAUCGGGAGGAACACCGGUGGCGAAGGCGGUUCUCUGGGCCUUACCUGACGCUGAGGAGCGAAAGCGUGGGGAGCGAACAGG
rnacentral:rRNA from 1 species